GAUCGCAGCGGUGGGCCCCUCACUGGGAGGAGUAGCUUCUGCAGGAGAGAAUUGUUCCUCCUCUCGGUCCAGCUGCCUUCUCUCCGCUCCGUCUGUACUUCACGGCUCUGAACCACUGCAGCAUUCAUUCUAGAGUGUUAUUCCAUCAGCGGCACCUCAGAUCAUCAGGCACUGGGUCCCGGAGAUUGGGGAACGCCAGCUGUAAGGUACAGUCUCUUCGCAGAUUCCAGGGUCAGGAUGGGGGAAGCUUUGGGAAGUGGAGGCGACUGGGAAUCUUUCUGCGCCCCACAUGGGGUCACCCCUGGUGUUUGUAAG
rnacentral:lncRNA from 1 species